UACGGAGGGGGCUAGCGUUGUUCGGAAUUACUGGGCGUAAAGCGCACGUAGGCGGACUGAUCAGUUGGGGGUGAAAGCCCGGAGCUCAACUCCGGAACUGCCUCCAAUACUGUCAGUCUCGAGUCCGAGAGAGGUGAGUGGAAUUUCCAGUGUAGAGGUGAAAUUCGUAGAUAUUGGAAAGAACACCAGUGGCGAAGGCGGCUCACUGGCUCGGUACUGACGCUGAGGUGCGAAAGUGUGGGGAGCAAACAGG
rnacentral:misc_RNA from 1 species